rnacentral:rRNA from 1 species
AUUGAACGCUAGCGGCAUGCUUUACACAUGCAAGUCGAACGAGUGGCGGACGGGUGAGUAAUAUAUCGGAACGUGCCCAGUAGCGGGGGAUAACUACUCGAAAGGGUGGCUAAUACCGCCUACUAUUGGAGCGGCCGAUAUGGGAUUAGCGAGUGGGUGGGGUAAAGGCUAACCAAGGCAACGAGCCGUAGCUGGGUUGAGAGGAGGACCAGCCAAACUGGGACUGAGACACGGCCCAGACUCCUACGGGAGGCAGCAGUGGGGAAUUUUGGACAAUGGGGGAAAGCCUGAUCCAGCCAUGCCGCGUGUAUGAGAAGGCCUUCGGGUUGUAAAGUACUGUUGUCAGAGAAGCGGUAUCUGCAGAAGAAGCACCGGCUAACUACGUGCCAGCAGCCGCGGUAAUUC